UACGUAGGGUGCGAGCGUUGUCCGGAAUUACUGGGCGUAAAGAGCUUGUAGGCGGUUUGUCGCGUCGUCUGUGAAAACUCACAGCUCAACUGUGAGCUUGCAGGCGAUACGGGCAGACUUGAGUACUGCAGGGGAGACUGGAAUUCCUGGUGUAGCGGUGAAAUGCGCAGAUAUCAGGAGGAACACCGGUGGCGAAGGCGGGUCUCUGGGCCGAUAUUGACGCUGAGGCGCGAAAGCUAGGGGAGCAAACGGG
rnacentral:rRNA from 1 species